rnacentral:lncRNA from 1 species
AUUUUAUUUCUCCAGAAAGCUGAUUAAAAAGUCUUCCUUUGAAGCAUGGUUCUAGAUACCAAAUGAAAUACAAACAGAAAUGUUCUGUGCUCUCAGAAGGAUGGCUGAGAAUGAAUGCAGGCUGGUGGAGCUGGGGGGGUAUCUGAUGUUGUCACAGGAUGACGACAGAAUUAGCAUAUCACUAUAGUGUAGACGGCAGAGAGACCACAUCUGGAGGCAGCACUUAAGGAAGGCUGCUUGUGACCUGAAUGGAGAUAAUUUCAUGGCACUGCUGUUCUCAACUUUUCUUGUCCUGACUAGACAGCUCCAUGGGCCAGGGAGACUGGGAUCUUACCAGUAACCCCUGCACGCCCCCAGUGCUGCCUAUCAGGUCACACUAUCCCACAAAUCCUAAAGCCCAGCAUCCUGAGGUCUGCUCCUAGCACCCUCACUUACAGGCAACUGUUACAUUUUUUCUAUUCCAGGAUGCUCCUCCCUUACUGUCCUUGAUACUUCUUUGUUUUGGCGGUAGUAAAUGCUGUUUUAUUACUCAUUUCCUUUACAGCAGGUGUGUAAUGGUGCUGUAAAAGGCACAGAUGCAGGAGGGCUGGACAAGAACAAUGUGAAGUCAGGCAUUGCUCCUGUGGUUUAAAGGCAGAGGGAAAUACCUUACAGACAGGUUGGCUUACUCCCCCCUUUAUACCACCUAACCCUCACCUUUAACCCAGCUGAAGUCUCUUUUAGAAAAUAGAAAAAUCUCAAACUUUAUGUAGGCCUCUGGAGUUUUCCUUUCUGAACAGAACAAGAGCUUCAGAAGAAGCUGAAAUAUAAAGUUUUUCCCCAGUCUGCCCAUGAGAAAAGACUGAGAGCCUUCCCUUCACCACCAAGAACAUGAUGGAAGAGUUAACAGCGCACUGGUUGAUACAGGCACAGCGACUGUACAGAAAGAAAAAAACUUCCAGAACAAAAAGAAAAUCCAUCACCACUACACGAUUUAAAAGACAACUGUAAAUUACUUAUGUGGGCCCGUCUUCUCUCCAAGGUUUCCUCUGAAAUCCACCCUCCACAAGACACUUAAUCCUUGGUAUUUUUUCAUUUAGAUUUGGACGUUCCACUAAUUUCAGGAGCUAGGCCUUGGAUGCAAACCAAAAAGCAUGUAGGCAUAAAUGUAAACUCAAGCAACGUUAUGAAGAUCCUUUAAAGUUGUAAUUCAACUGAAAU